rnacentral:rRNA from 1 species
GUUGUAUAGUCAAGUAAUUAAGUGCAUGUGGUGGAUGCCUUGGCAGUCAGAGGCGAAGAAAGACGUAAUAGCCUGCGAUAAGCUCCGGGGAGGCGGCAAAUAUCCUGUGAUCCGGAGAUUUCUGAAUGGGGAAACCCACUUACCAUAAGGUAGGUAUCGCAACAUGAAUACAUAGUGUUGCGAGGCGAACGAGGGGAAGUGAAACAUCUCAGUACCCUUAGGAAAAGAAAUCAAUUGAGAUUCC